GUUUCCGGGAUCACGGAAAACCACAACACACACCUGGCACCAGGCUUCACCCUUAACGACCUCGUUCCAGCACCAGUGAAUGUGGUGGUUCUCCCGGGUCCACUGGGGCCUCUGCCUGUGGGGAGUCUUUCCAGCAGGGGAACCGCCUCUGCCCAUGUGUCCCAAAGACCCCCGGACUUCACUCUGCACCUGUGGAUUCGCCCUUUCCACCAGAGCACCACCAGGUGUGAAGAGAAGCUAAAAAUUGGCUGAAGGGAUGAGAACUCGAUGGCACUGUGCAUGCACCAGCAUCUCUGUUCCUGUCCAGGAGAGAUUUAAAAAAAUGGUUUUCACCUGAGGACAGCCGCAUGCAGAAUACAGGGAUCCUGCCUUUUCCUGCUGAAAGUGAAGAGUGCUGACGACAUGAGCCAGGAGCCACACUGUGAAGAUGUCCCAUUGGUCAAAACCCUUCAUGUAGAUGCCGGGCCCACAAUUCUUUCGGAAACUUUGGCUUUAGGAUUUCGCAGGGGAGGAAGCUAAAGGAAUUCAGCCCUGUGUCUUCCCUCCCUAAGAGAAAUUCAUGAGUCACAUUUGCUAUUUCCCCCCAGACAUAUGUCCUUUCAUUAAAAAGAAAAGAGAAGCUAAA